UACGAAGGGGGCGAGCGUUGUUCGGAUUUACUGGGCGUAAAGGGCGCGCAGGCGGCUUACUUUGUCAGGCGUGAAAGCCCCGGGCUUAACCUGGGAACUGCGUUUGAUACGGAUGGGCUAGAGUUCGGGAGAGGAGAGUGGAAUUCCCAGUGUAGAGGUGAAAUUCGUAGAUAUUAGGAAGAACACCAGUGGCGAAGGCGGCUCACUGGCCCGGUACUGACGCUGAGGCGCGAAAGCGUGGGGAGCAAACAGG
rnacentral:rRNA from 1 species